UACCAGCACCCCGAGUGGUCGGGACGUUUAUUGGGCCUAAAGCAUCCGUAGCCGGUUCUACAAGUCUUCCGUUAAAUCCACCUGCUUAACAGAUGGGCUGCGGAAGAUACUAUGGAGCUAGGAGGCGGGAGAGGCAAGCGGGUACUCGAUGGGUAGGGGUAAAAUCCGUUGAUCCAUUGAAGACCACCAGUGGCGAAGGCGGCUUGCCAGAACGCGCUCGGCGGUGAGGGAUGAAAGCUGGGGGAGCAAACCGG
rnacentral:rRNA from 1 species